UUUUAAUGAUGCCAAGUUUAAAGCUUUAGAUCUUGGAGGAUAUCAGUCAUGUGUUAGAAGAUAAAGCGAUUGGACAGAACUCUCAAGACAGCUCAUGAGUCGUUUCUCUUCCUUUUAUCCUGAGUAUAUGGUUCUCCUGGGAUCUGGCAUUCCUUGAAGUUCAAUGGUUAUAGAAACAAGAUGACCCCAACCAUUUCUACCAGGUAUUCCUCAUCAGACUUACCUGUUCAGUAUCAGAAAGUAUUAUUCAAGAUGCUAAUGGAAGAAGGCAAUUAGUAGUCCUACCCAGCAGUGACACCUAUGAACCACAACAAUGGCAGGACAUCUGCAAAAGUGCAGUAGAGGCACUCACGUUUGGUAGUAAUCAACAGCAGUCUCAUUGUACUUGACAACUACUUGGCAGGUGGGAAACCUUCCUGGUCCUGAAGACCUAGCCAGCUUCCCAUGGCUAUUGAGGUCCUGAAUCCUAAGAAAAAGUCUACUGCUGCCAUUUUGCUAGGUCAAUAUAAUUCCUAGCUACACUCUAAAUAUUACUCAUAUAGACAGAUGUUAUCUAUCACCCUUCUCAUCAAAGAAGCUUCUCUUUACAGCAAAUGACAAGCAUUACAGAAAAUCACAACAGAGACAAUGCAGAGAUCAAUGAAUCACAGUGACCCUAGCCCUCAAUAAAUUUAUCUACAUCACAGCUUCUGCAUUCAUGGCUCAGGGAACAUCAGAGAAGAGGAAGUGAAAAUGUUAUGAGAGCCAGAAUAUGAGGAGUCCAGCUGUAAGACUGUGUCUCCCAGAAAUGGCCGCAUAAAUAGGACUUGAGUAGUCACAAUAGCAAUACAUAUGCUAACAGGGAAGGGGAAUUUUUAUGGUUUCCUACCCCUACACAAAGAUGUACAGGCAACUAAUGAGUGUGGAGAGAGGGAGAAUCAGCACUUUCAGGCAUGAACAUCCUAAUUGGCUAUCCAAUGCAAAGUGGGCAGCCCCCAAACCACAUGCACUCUCUAACAACAAAAAUGGACUCAGUAAGCUUUAUUUAUAUGUUGGUGCAUAUAUGUAACAAGAAUAAAGGAAAAGACUUUCAAUUUAGAAGUGGGUGGGGCAAAAGUGAGUUGGAAGGGGAACAUGAGAAGGUAUAAAUGGAAGAAAGGGAAGAAGUGGCAUAAGUAUAUUCUCAUUUAAAAUGUACUUUAAAGUAGUUGGAAUUAAAUGGAGAGUUCAACUGGGGAUCUUGCAGUCUUUUGAUGGCUGCCACAGACACCAAAUGCUUCCAUUCUUUUGCUCAUUAACUUCUGGACACCUUUGAAUGCUCUUGCCAUGACCUUGUUUUGCUUAUUUCUUUGUGAUGCCCUUAGCAGAUUUUUUUUAUUCAUUCUCCUUCUUAGUGACCUCCACCACCACCAAUGUAGAGACACAUGUGUCUCUGAUUCUGUUAUGCAGAAUCAUAGCUUUCCUUUUAAUUCUAAGUGAACUACAAGAAAAGAUUGAAAACUGGUCGAAUUCAGACUUAGGUUCUUGAAAUAUAACAGCUCAGCACUGAUGGGAACAGCAGAAAAUGAAACCAAGGAAGGUUACUCUCUGAUCUUUGGCCACCAAUCCUUCCCCUUCUGUCAGGCCAUAGGAUGAUAUUGGAUAAAUGCCCUCUGAAACCUGAGAGAAAGAGUCUUCUUUCUGAGCAUGCAGGAUGUACAAAGAAGACUGACUCAAUCACCAGUGAGAUGUGGCUCUGUCCUUUCUCUUUCCUUUCUCUUUUGGGCUUGCAUACAGACUGCUGCCAUGCUGGCUGGCUAGGUCGCUCUGUAAGUAAGGCUUUUCCCUAUUAAAUACCCUUAUAUUUCUACCUGACUCUGUAUUGGCAAUUUCCCACUAUAUGUCCUCUCAUCAUAUUCCCAAGACUCUUUAUCAAACCUUAGCUUAAAAAAUCACAAACAAGUGCCCACACAAACACACACACACCCACACACCCACAGACACACACACACUCACAUACACACACAUACACACACACACACACACACACACCAUAUAUUCCAUUCAUUGUGCCUCCCUUUCUAUAUCCCCUUCAAGUAAUAUAAAACUUACACUUAAUUGCCAAAUAUGUUUGCAUUUUUUCUUACUAGUUGAAUUUGGCAUAGAGACUUAAACCAUAAUUUUUUGAUAUAAACUCUUAAUAGGAGAAAAGAGGCUUUUUAUUCAAUAAUAAAAACAAACAGGUUGACCAAUCAACCAUUGUCAGUGACUCUAAU
ensembl:lncRNA